AUAAUCCGCUAAGUUGUAGAAAGACAAAAGCCAAUUCUAAGAAAAUAGAACUAUCUCUGACAUACACUCGGUAAAGCUAAAAAUCUCAUUUUAGAAGAUGAUUGCAUUACGCUUAAGCCAUAAGCAUCAAAUCGUGGUUAACCAAAUCACCUCCACAAUAGUCAUCUUAGACAAACACUUCACAUUUUCGCAAAAAUUGAAGAAACCUACAAACUGCUCCAAAGACAUCUUCAGAAUGGGGCCAAUCCACUCAAACAUCCUCCUUCUAAUCCGCGAAGUUACCUCACAACCCCGAAAUAAGUGUGAUAAAGAUUCAUCCUCCGACAAACACGUGACACAAACGGUGGUUUCAUGCAGAUUUGCAAACGUGUAACUUGGUUAGGAGACGGUGCUGUUCUCAUAUUAUAUUAUGCUAGUUGUCGUCUCCAUCUCUAAUUAUCUGCCAUGUAUAGGAUGAAUGGCAAUAUUUAAUACAAUAAUUCAUUUGAUUUUAAGACAAAGCUGUGUUUGGACUGAGUGUGGAAAGUUAUCUAAUAAUGGAUGGGAUGAAUGGCAUUAUCUA